rnacentral:rRNA from 1 species
UUGGCCUCGAAUCAGGUAGGGAUACCCGCUGAACUUAAGCAUAUCAAUAAGCGGAGGAAAAGAAACCAACAGGGAUUGCCUUAGUAACUGCGAGUGAAGCGGCAAGAGCUCAAAUUUGAAAUCUGGCGCCUUUGGCGUCCGAGUUGUAAUUUGGAGAGGCAUCUUCGGGUGCGGCGCCGGCCUAAGUUCCUUGGAACAGGACGUCAUAGAGGGUGAGAAUCCCGUUCUCGGCUGGCUGUCCGCGUCCAUGUGAAGUGUCUUCGACGAGUCGAGUUGUUUGGGAAUGCAGCUCAAAAUGGGUGGUAAACUCCAUCUAAAAGCUAAUACUGGCGAGAGACCGAUAGCGCACAGUAGAGUGAUCGAAAGAUGAAAAGCACUUUGAAAGAGAGUUUAAAAAGUACGUUGAAUUGGUGGAAGGGAGCCGCCUUGAGACAGACUCGCCGGGAGGUAUCAUCGUUCCGUCUGGGGGCCAUCACGUGACUCUCGUCCGUAGCAUCGAUGCAGCGCGGAAUCA